CCAGACUCCUACGGGAGGCAGCAGUGGGGAAUAUUGGGCAAUGGGCGCAAGCCUGACCCAGCAACGCCGCGUGAAGGAAGAAGGCUUUCGGGUUGUAAACUUCUUUUAAGAGGGAAGAGUAGAAGACGGUACCUCUUGAAUAAGCCACGGCUAACUACGUGCCAGCAGCCGCGGUAAUACGUAGGCGGCAAGCGUUGUCCGGAUUUACUGGGUGUAAAGGGGGCGCAGACGGCAGCGCAAGCCAGGAGUGAAAGCCCGGGGCCCAACCCCGGGACUGCUCUUGGAACUGCGCGGCUGGAGUGCAGGAGGGGCAGGCGGAAUUCCUGGUGUAGCGGUGAAAUGCGUAGAUAUUAGGAGGAACACCAGUGGCGAAGGCGGUCUGCUGGACAGCAACUGACGGUGAGGCGCGAAAGCGUGGGGAGCAAACAGGAUUAGAUACCCUCGUAGAA
rnacentral:rRNA from 1 species